GAUGAACGCUAGCUACAGGCUUAACACAUGCAAGUCGAGGGGCAGCAUGGUCUUAGCUUGCUAAGGCCGAUGGCGACCGGCGCACGGGUGAGUAACACGUAUCCAACCUGCCGUCUACUCUUGGACAGCCUUCUGAAAGGAAGAUUAAUACAAGAUGGCAUCAUGAGUCCGCAUGUUCACAUGAUUAAAGGUAUUCCGGUAGACGAUGGGGAUGCGUUCCAUUAGAUAGUAGGCGGGUAACGGCCCACCUAGUCUUCGAUGGAUAAGGGGUUCUGAGAGGAAGGUCCCCACAUUGGAACUGAGACACGGUCCAAACUCCUACGGGAGGCAGCAGUGAGGAAUAUUGGUC
rnacentral:rRNA from 1 species